UACGUAGGGGGCUAGCGUUGUCCGGAAUCAUUGGGCGUAAAGAGCGCGUAGGCGGCUAGAUAAGUCCGGUGUGAAAGUCACAGGCUCAACCUGUGAAUGCCGCUGGAAACUGUCUGGCUAGAGUCCGGAAGGGGCGAGUGGAAUUCCUGGUGUAGCGGUGAAAUGCGCAGAUAUCAGGAGGAACACCAAUGGCGAAGGCAGCUCGCUGGUACGGUACUGACGCUGAGGCGCGAAAGCGUGGGGAGCAAACAGG
rnacentral:rRNA from 1 species